UACGAAGGGGGCGAGCGUUGUUCGGAUUUACUGGGCGUAAAGGGCGCGUAGGCGGAUUGUUAAGUCAGGGGUGAAAUCCUGGAGCUCAACUCCAGAACUGCCUUUGAUACUGGCGAUCUCGAGUCCGGGAGAGGUGAGUGGAACUGCGAGUGUAGAGGUGAAAUCGUAGAUAUUCGCAAGAACACCAGUGGCGAAGGCGGCUCACUGGCCCGGUACUGACGCUGAGGUGCGAAAGCGUGGGGAGCAACAGG
rnacentral:rRNA from 1 species